rnacentral:rRNA from 1 species
CUCGGCAAAAUGACCCCGUAACUUCGGGAGAAGGGGUGCUCUAUUAGGGUGCAAGCCCGAGAGAGCCGCAGUGAAGAGGCCCAGGCGACUGUUUAGCAAAAACACAGGGCUCUGCAAAACCGCAAGGGGACGUAGAGGGGCUGGCGCCUGCCCGGGGCUGGAAGGGUAAGAGGAGGGCUUAGCAUCGGCGAAGGUACGAAUUGAAGCCCCAGUAAACGGCGGCCGUAACUAUAACGGUCCUAAGGUAGCGAAAUU